rnacentral:rRNA from 1 species
UUGGAGGGCAAGUCUGGUGCCAGCAGCCGCGGUAAUUCCAGCUCCAAUAGCGUAUAUUAAAGUUGUUGCAGUUAAAAAGCUCGUAGUUGAAUUUCGGGAUCAAUUUAUUGGUCGUGCUAUUGUACGUACUGGUAUUAUUGAUUCCUACCUUCUGACGAACCAUGAUGUCAUUAAUUUGGUGUCUUGGGGAAUCAGGACUGUUACUUUGAAAAAAUUAGAGUGUUUAAAGCAGGCUCACGCUUGAAUACAUUAGCAUGGAAUAACGAAAUAGGACGUUUGAUUCUAUUUUGUUGGUUUCUAGGAUCGACGUAAUGAUUAAUAGGGAUAGUUGGGGGCAUUAGUAUUCAAUUGUCAGAGGUGAAAUUCUUGGAUUUAUUGAAGACUAACUACUGCGAAAGCAUUUGCCAAGGAUGUUUUCAUUAAUCAAGAACGAAAGUUAGGGGAUCGAAGACGAUCAGAUACCGUCGUAGUCUUAACCAUAAACUAUGCCGACUAGGGAUCGGAUGAUGUUAAUUUUUUAAUGACUCAUUCGGCGCCUUACGGGAAACCAAAGUGUUUGGGUUC